rnacentral:rRNA from 1 species
CAGCAGUGGGGAAUAUUGCACAAUGGGCGCAAGCCUGAUGCAGCCAUGCCGCGUGUAUGAAGAAGGCCUUCGGGUUGUAAAGUACUUUCAGCAGUGAGGAAGGUGGAUAUGUUAAUAGCAUACUCAUUUGACGUUAGCUGCAGAAGAAGCACCGGCUAACUCCGUGCCAGCAGCCGCGGUAAUACGGAGGGUGCGAGCGUUAAUCGGAAUUACUGGGCGUAAAGCGCAUGCAGGUGGUUUGUUAAGUCAGAUGUAAAAAGCCCGGGGCUCAACCUCGGAAUUGCAUUUGAAACUGGCAAACUAGAGUACUGUAGAGGGGGGUAGAAUUUCAGGUGUAGCGGUGAAAUGCGUAGAGAUCUGAAGGAAUACCGGUGGCGAAGGCGGCCCCCUGGACAGAUACUGACACUCAGAUGCGAAAGCGUGGGGAGCAAACAGGAUUAGAUACCCUGGUAG